CAAAGGAGUGAUCCGGCAGAGGAUGGACAUGCGGCGCAUUAGCUAGUCGGCGGGGUAACGGCCCACCGAGGCUACGAUGCGUAGGGGUUCUGAGAGGGAGGUCCCCCACACUGGUACUGAGACACGGACCAGACUCCUACGGGAGGCAGCAGUGAGGAAUAUUGGUCAAUGGGCGGAAGCCUGAACCAGCCAAGUCGCGUGAGGGAAGACGGUCCUAUGGAUUGUAAACCUCUUUUGCAGGGGAGCAAGGCGCGGUACGUGUACCGCGAAGGAGAGUACCCUGAGAAAAAGCAUCGGCUAACUCCGUGCCAGCAGCCGCGGUAAUACGGAGGAUGCGAGCGUUAUCCGGAUUUAUUGGGUUUAAAGGGUGCGCAGGCGGACUGUUAAGUCAGCGGUAAAAUGUCGGUGCUCAACACCGGCCGGCCGUUGAAACUGGCAGCCUUGAGUGAGCGAGAAGUAUGCGGAAUGCGUGGUGUAGCGGUGAAAUGCAUAGAUAUCACGCAGAACUCCGAUUGCGAAGGCAGCAUACCGGCGCUCAACUGACGCUCAGGCACGAAAGCGUGGGUAUCGAACAGGCUUAGAUACCCUGGUAGUCCACGCAGUAAACGAUGAAUGCUCACUGUCCGGGCCGUUUAAGGCCUGG
rnacentral:rRNA from 1 species